CCCAUGCCGUACGGUGUGCCAUUGGGCCACUGACAAAAGGGGACAGGUUUCUAGUGGGCCCACAUGUGGUCGAAUGGCAGGGGAUCCUCGUCCCAUUUCAGUUGCUACAGUGCAUCUCCGCAUGCAACCCCCACCUCGACUUUUCCCUCUCAUUUUCUUCGUCGAAACCAUGUAACAAGCAUCGGGAACCAACACUCUUAUGAUUCCCAUCCAAAACAAUAAGGUGUGCAUGAAGGGUGAUCUCUCGCGUGGUCCACGUCGGAUUUACUAGGAGACAAAACGUUCGCUUCGUCCAGAAGAAAGAGAAAAUAACAGAGAAAGGGAUUGGCCAGCGGCCCAGCUCCCAGUCAGCCAGUCCCCAUCCCCGAUUCCUCUCCCUCUCCCUUUUCCCUCGUCUGCCGCCGCCACUGGCGACCUCGCCGCAGCCGCCGUGACCAUCCACGCCCUCCCCAACGGCCACCCCUUCUCUCCUCCCCUUACCUUCUCCUUACAAUCGGCAACCUCCUCCCCUCUCCCUCGCACCAGAUCGAGCAGCAGGCCGGGAUCCGAAGCAGCCUCAGAUCCGGCACGCCGAAAGCGAUGGUUUCCGUUGAGAACGCCAUGGACAAGGUGCUCUGGCCCGGUUGCUGCAGCCAUGGACAAGAUGUGUGCGGAUCGGAUGAAGAAUAGAAGAGGAAGGAUCUUGAGGAAGAGUGAAGAACAAGAUGAUCUCUCUCUCUGUCUCUCUGAUUUGCUUAGGUUAUUUUCAUGUGUUGCACUGGCCAUCUCUCCACGGGAUUGAGCUGACAUGGUCAUGGCACUGACGCAAUUACUCGGUGCAAACCCCUUCUCGUUGCUUGCAAAGGCAGAUCCCACGACCUCACAGAAGUUUUUAGUCUUCACCUGCAUUUGCUUUUGGCUUAAAAUUCAUAUAUAUAUGAGUAGGUGACAGUGAUAUCCUGAAGUGCAGAGUGGCUGGGCUAAUUUACUAAUGAAACUCACUAAUAUAUCCUUGGAUGUCUCCUUGGAUGUCUUGAUCAUGAUAUAACCUCCAAUUAAGCGUGCCUAAAAGAGGCAUCCGUUUCCCUUCCCAUGACAAGAGAAAUUUUCCACCUUUUUCUUGCUGUACAGCACCCCGUGUUUCUUCUUUAGGUAUUAAGGUAGCAGGCAGGACAGAAUUGAGAUGGAGAGAUUGAGGAUGAUUAGUUUUGUGAUUGACUGGUUUGUUCGUUUGGUUAGGAAACGGAACAACAUUCUAUGCAACUUUCAAAGAAUAAACUUUUCCUUAUCUUUAGCGCAUGUAGAGAAGAUCAUAAGCAUGCAAAAACAUGGUCUUGCUUAUUUUACAAUAGUUUCUUUGCGAAUAAAUGAGAUGUGGAAUCUAGAGAAAAUUGAUAUUUUAGUUGUAUAGUAUCGCGGGAAAAUCAUAACACGGCCGUCUUCAUCGGGGAUGGGCACGGUGAGAAGUGGCAACGCGUGAGCAUAUGUUUGGCAAGGAAGGUGAUCCACAUGCCAUCUGCUGCAAGGUUGUGAUAACGUCGAGUUCGUGUUACCCAAAGCACACAGCGCAAGCGGGACAAGCUGUAACAGCUAGUGUUCUUCCCUGUCGGUCCUGAGGUGCAGUCCCUGAACACAUCUCGCUAAAAAUUUCUCUCACCCACUCUGAUUCAGUUCUUCCCUUUUGAUGUGCUACUUUGGUUCCUAUAGAGGCCUCCUCUUAAUUAGACAUUUGGUAAGUAUGGGGAUAGCUACAACUGGCCCUCAUGAAGAAACCAAAAUCAUGCCUUCCUCUCUUCAACAUAAACACCGAAAUCAUUCUGGACAGAUCUGUUCUAUAAUAUAAAUCUUAAUCCACUUCACCAAAUCUAGCAGAUGAGAAUAAUAUGAAUAUAAGAAGUAAAUUAUCUAAUAGUUUCAUUUUGGGACCAAACACUGGUUCUGCCUAUAAGUAGGUUUCUUCUUACAGUAUAUCUGAAAGAGUUAGUUAUCAUAUUUAGAAUGUAUAUCGGCCAAAGUAGUUAUUUCAUCGUUCUCUUUCCAAUAUAAUUCACGAUUGCGUACCCUGAUAUGUUUAGUUCCUUUCCAAAACAAUUCGUAAAGUAGCUUUAUUCACUGUGGUUACAUGUUUACUCUUUACAAACAUUUGUAUCCUAUUCUGAUGCCUCUGUUCUUUCUGCAGUUCCUGGAGUUGCUGAAGAAUUUGAUAUAAGUCAAGGUUAAAAUUUGAACAGGAUAGGUGUCUACACCACGAAAGAAAAUGAAGAUAUAUACUUGCAUUAGAUGAAAGUGGCACAACAACAACAAUACAUAACAGAAACAUAGUGUAUCAAGAAGCGUCGGCUGCCUGUAGGAGAUAUUUUGCCCUGCAGUUUCAGUUUGAGAUGAACUUUACAGAGACAUCUAAUCAUUUCCCACCAGUGCAUGUUUUGAAAAAAAAGCUGAGUGUUGCUGAUGCAAAUAAGUCAACAGUCUAGAUGCAUUUAUGGAAUUACAACUAUUGCUGGUGGGAAAUCAAGCAGAGGAGGGCAUGUUGGUGGACCAAGUGACGAUGCAAAAUUUGCUACUGAUUUUGAAGUCCAUUACAUUGCCAGUCGUUGCUCCCUUUUGGUGAUUGACAGAGGAAAUCAAGCUAUUAGGGAGAUUCAGCUCAACUUAGAUGACCGUGUGUACCAGUAUGAAGCUGGUUUUCCUAUAGGUAUGUAUUGUGCAAUUAUUAUAUGCCCUGAGGGUUCAUUUCACUAGGUUGUUCCCUCACUAGAUCAUCCUAAUAAUGUUGAAGCACUGACAUUCUUAUUUCUUGUUGUCUUGUACAUAUCACUAGAAUUCAGUAUUGUGCCAAGCCGGUGAGAAGCUGACUUUAGCACAUGCUAUCUUAAUUUUUGUCAUACAUCAGCAGUUACUAGAUUUGUGCCAUGUACUUCCUCCUGAUCCUGCAGUACUAUUUUUUAGGCAAACCCACACUACUAAAUAAUAUGUAUAUGAGUAUAUCAUAUAUGGGCUCAUUUCACUAGGUUGUUCGCUCACUAGAUCGUCCCAAUUAUUGUACUGUACUGAGUGGUUGAAUUAUCAUGCUGAUCGGGGCGAGGCGACUAUAGCGGCGAGAUCUUAUAAGUGGUUCUUAGAGGUGUACUUGCUGUAGGUGAUCAAUUUGGUCCGGAUUGGAUUUUCUUUUUUAUCUUUGUGAUUGCUUUUCUUAAAAUUGAUCCAACAAUAAUGAUGCAUGACCAGCAAGUCAUGCGCCUGUGGCUUUACACUAAGCUUUGUCCACUAUUAACCUCCUUUUGUGUGUUCGAAAGGAUUUCUCCAUGUAUCGUGUAAUAAGAAUUGUUUGUUUCUUUUUUAGGAUUCAGGAUGGGCGCCUGUUAUGACCGUCAUAUUAGGGGCUUAGCCCAGUGGUUGUGGCCCAAGUUAUUUUAUCAUUAUUAGGGGCUUAGCCCAAUUAUCUUAUCGUCUGCUUAGGAG